GAAUGUGAGAGUGGCCUGGCUGUGACCUGCCACCCAUUGACUGCCAGGGCCCAUUAGACUGGUGUGGUGGCUUGGUGUUUUCUUUCUCUCUCACUUCUCUGCGGGCAUCAGGUCUCAAGUUGCAGACCCAGACUACAGGGAUGACCUCUGAUAAAAAAAAAAAAAAGUAUUGUUCCUGGCUAGCCCAGGCAGUUCAAACACUGCUCUGUGAGUCCUCCACGUGGGCAUGAUCUGUGACCUCAAAAUGCCCCAGAGCUCUGUGAUGAACGCCCAGGGCAGGGGCUUGCUGGGUCUCUUU
rnacentral:snRNA from 1 species